GGAUCAGCUAUUGGGGUGAAGUCGUAACAAGGUAGCCGUAGGGGAACCUGCGGCUGGAUCACCUCCUU
rnacentral:rRNA from 1 species